CCUACGGGAGGCUGCAGUGGGGAAUAUUGGACAAUGGGCGAAAGCCUGAUCCAGCAAUGCCGCGUGAGUGAUGAAGGCCUUAGGGUUGUAAAGCUCUUUUACCAGGGAUGAUAAUGACAGUACCUGGAGAAUAAGCUCCGGCUAACUCCGUGCCAGCAGCCGCGGUAAUACGGAGGGAGCUCGCGUUGUUCGGAAUUACGGGGCGUAAAGCGCACGUAGGCGGUUUUUCAAGUCAGGGGUGAAAGCCCGGGGCUCAACUCCGGAAUUGCGAUUGAAACUGGAUGACUAGAAUCUGGGAGAGGUCAGUGGAAUUCCGAGUGUAGAGGUGAAAUGCGUAGAUAUUCGGAAGAACACCAGUGGCGAAGGCGACUGACUGGACAUGUAUUGACGCUGAGGUGCGAAAGCGUGGGGAGCAAACAGGAUUAGAUACCCGAGUAGUC
rnacentral:rRNA from 1 species